rnacentral:rRNA from 1 species
GACGAACGCUGGCGGCGUGCUUAACACAUGCAAGUCGAACGGAAAGGCCCUGCUUUUGUGGGGUGCUCGAGUGGCGAACGGGUGAGUAACACGUGAGUAACCUGCCCUUGACUUUGGGAUAACUUCAGGAAACUGGGGCUAAUACCGGAUAGGAGCUCCUGCUGCAUGGUGGGGGGUGGAAAGUUUCGGCGGUUGGGGAUGGACUCGCGGCUUAUCAGCUUGUUGGUGGGGUAGUGGCUUACCAAGGCUUUGACGGGUAGCCGGCCUGGGUGGGUGACCGGCCACAUUGGGACUGAGAUACGGCCCAGACUCCUACGGGAGGCAGCAGUGGGGAAUAUUGUACAAUGGGCGGAAGCCUGAUGCAGCAACGCCGCGUGCGGGAUGACGGCCUUCGGGUUGUAAAACGCUUUAGCCUGUGACGAAGCGUGAGUGACGGUAAUGGGUAAAGAAGCACCGGCUAACUACGUG